GUAGGCAGCGAGCGUUGUUCGGAGUUACUGGGCGUAAAGGGUGUGUAGGCGGUUCUUUAAGUUUGGUGUGAAAUCUCCCGGCUCAACCGGGAGGGUGCGCCGAAUACUGUGCGACUAGAGUGCGGAAGGGGCAACUGGAAUUCUUGGUGUAGCGGUGAAAUGCGUAGAUAUCAAGAGGAACACCUGCGGCGAAGGCGGGUUGCUGGGCCGACACUGACGCUGAAGCGCGAAAGCCAGGGGAGCGAACGGGAUUAGAUACCCCGGUAGUCCUGGCCUUAAACGAUGAAUGCUUGGUGUCUGGGGUUAUAAAGUCCCCGGGUGCCGUCGCUAACGCUUUAAGCAUUCCGCCUGGGGAGUACGGUCGCAAGACUG
rnacentral:rRNA from 1 species